rnacentral:rRNA from 1 species
AUUGAACGCUGGCGGCAGGCCUAACACAUGCAAGUCGAGCGGAUGAAGGGAGCUUGCUCCUGGAUUCAGCGGCGGACGGGAGAGUAAUGCCUAUGAAUCUGCCUGGUAGUGGGGGAUAACGUCCGGAAACGGGCGCUAAUACCGCAUACGUCCUGAGGGAGAAAGUGGGGGAGCUUCGGACCUCACGCUAUCAGAUGAGCCUAGGUCGGAUUAGCUAGUUGGUGGGGUAAAGGCCUACCAAGGCGACGAUCCGUAACUGGUCUGAGAGGAUGAUCAGUCACACUGGAACUGAGACACGGUCCAGACUCCUACGGGAGGCAGCAGUGGGGAAUAUUGGACAAUGGGCGAAAGCCUGAUCCAGGCAUGCCGCGUGUGUGAAGAAGGUCUUCGGAUUGUAAAGCACUUUAAGUUGGGAGGAAGGGCAGUAAGUUAAUACCUUGCUGUUUUGACGGUACCAACAGAAUAAGCACCGGCUAACUUCGUG